ACUAUCAGUUGGUGACAGUCAUGAAUCUGA
rnacentral:piRNA from 1 species